rnacentral:rRNA from 1 species
UAGGGAAUCUUCCACAAUGGACGCAAGUCUGAUGGAGCAACGCCGCGUGAGUGAAGAAGGUCUUCGGAUCGUAAAACUCUGUUGUUAGAGAAGAACACGAGUGAGAGUAACUGUUCAUACGUUGACGGUAUUUAACCAGAAAGUCACGGCUAACUACGUGCCAA